rnacentral:rRNA from 1 species
UCGAUUUGGAGUUUGUUGCCUAGAGUGAUGGGCUCCGAAGCUAACGCGAUAAAUCGACCGCCUGGGGAGUACGGCCGCAAGGUUAAAACUCAAAUGAAUUGACGGGGGCCCGCACAAGCGGUGGAGCAUGUGGUUUAAUCCGAUGCAACGCGAAGAACCUUACCUGGUCUUGACAUCCACAGAAUCUUGCAGAGAUGCGAGAGUGCCUUCGGGAACUGUGAGACAGGUGCUGCAUGGCUGUCGUCAGCUCGUGUUGUGAAAUGUUGGGUUAAGUCCCGCAACGAGCGCAACCCUUAUCCUUUGUUGCCAUUGGUUCGGCCGGGAACUCAAAGGAGACUGCCGUUGAUAAAGCGGAGGAAGGUGGGGACGACGUCAAGUCAUCAUGGCCCUUACGACCAGGGCUACACACGUGCUACAAUGGCGUAUACAAAGGGAGGCGACCUCGCGAGAGCAAGCGGACCUCAUAAAGUACGUCUAAGUCCGGAUUGGAGUCUGCAACUCGACUCCAUGAAGUCGGAAUCGCUAGUAAUCGUGAAUCAGAAUGUCACGGUGAAUACGUUCCCGGGCCU